rnacentral:rRNA from 1 species
AGAGUUUGUAGUCCUGGCUCAGAUGUAACGCUGGCGGCAUGCCUUACACAUGCAAGUCGAACGGCAGCACGGGGGCGAACCCUCGGUGGCGAGUGGCGAACGGGUGAGUAACAUAUCGGAACGGUACCCAGUAGUGGGGGAGUAGCUCGGCGAAAGCCGGAUUAAUACCGCAUACGCACUGAGGUGGAAAGCGGGGGAUCGCAAGACCUCGCGCUAGUGGAGCGGCCGAUAUCUGAUUAGCUAGUUGGUGGGGUAAAAGCCUACCAAGGCGACGAUCAGUAGCUGGUCUGAGAGGACGACCAGCCACACUGGAACUGAGACACGGUCCAGACUCCUACGGGAGGCAGCAGUGGGGAAUUUUGGACAAUGGGGGCAACCCUGAUCCAGCAAUGCCGCGUGAGUGAAGAAGGCCUUCGGGUUGUAAAGCUCUUUUGUCUGGGAAGAAAUCCCCUGGGAUAAUACCUCGGGGGGAUGACGGUACCGGAAGAAUAAGCACCGGCUAACUACGUG